ensembl:lncRNA
AAAAAGGUUGAGAUCAAAAUUCAAAAGGCAAAAACUCAAAAUCUCUCUUAAACGAGGAAACGUAACAGGGAUCAAAAGGACGUGACAAACGUUAUCGGACUUGACUUGACUCGUGACGUGAGGGCUGGGCUGGUGUGCAGGGCAAAACAACAAGACACACUGGCACAGGACAAGGGGCGACGCAGACUAUAAGUACCCAAGAGGGAGUUGUGGGAACAGGUGGACACAAUCAGGAAUCAGGGGAGACAAUCAGACUGGUGACACAUGAGGAAGGGCAAGGGACCUGAAACGAGAGGGAGUUAGUUUCCAAAAUAAAACAGGAAGUCAAAAAACAACUGGAGACAGGACAAAAACGCAACUUGACAUACAGGUGUGACAGUAUGUGAUUGGAGGACCCUUAGACUCCUCGUCCAAUCACGUGUGAGGGCAUAGGCAUGACUGAUACAGCAGUACUUGGAAGACGAGCAUACGAACAAACACGUGUUACUAUAUUCAGAAGAACUGUAUCUCCAGUUCCUUUGUUUGGUUUUUGCUGGUUCGUGAAUAAUGGCGGGACGACGUCUCGCGUUCAACUCGCCUUCAACUCCUCUCCGCGGUCACCAACUUU